CUACGGGCGGCUGCAGUGGGGAAUAUUGGACAAUGGGCGAAAGCCUGAUCCAGCAAUGCCGCGUGUGUGAAGAAGGCCUGCGGGUUGUAAAGCACUUUCAGUAGGGAAGAUAAUGACGGUACCUACAGAAGAAGCACCGGCUAACUCAUGUGCCAGCAGCCGCGGUAAUACAGAGGGUGCAAGCGUUAAUCGGAAUUACUGGGCGUAAAGCGCGCGUAGGCGGUCUGUUAAGUCGGAUGCGAAAGCCCCGGGCUCAACCUGGGAACUGCAUUCGAUACUGGCAGGCUAGAGUAUGGUAGAGGGAAGUGGAAUUCCGGGUGUAGCGGUGAAAUGCGUAGAUAUCCGGAGGAACAUCAGUGGCGAAGGCGGCUUCCUGGACCAAUACUGACGCUGAGGUGCGAAAGCGUGGGGAGCAAACAGGAUUAGAUACCCGAGUAGUC
rnacentral:rRNA from 1 species